rnacentral:ncRNA from 1 species
UAUAUUUGCACCGCUAAAUGGCAUACAUAAAAAUCAUUUAAAAUAAUAUUGGCAUG